CACGUGGGGGGCGAGCGUUGUCCGGAAUCAUUGGGCGUAAAGAGCGUGUAGGCGGCUCGGUAAGUCCGCUGUGAAAGUCCAGGGCUCAACCCUGGAAUGCCGGUGGAAACUGUCGAGCUAGAGUCCGGAAGAGGAGAGUGGAAUUCCUGGUGUAGCGGUGAAAUGCGCAGAUAUCAGGAGGAACACCAAUGGCGAAGGCAGCUCGCUGGGACGGUACUGACGCUGAGACGCGAAAGCGUGGGGAGCAAACAGG
rnacentral:rRNA from 1 species